GCAAAACGACAGUUUAUAUUAGUUUUUUUUGUUGUUUGUUUUCCCUUUCUAAUUGAACAAACACAAACAUACAAAAUUUUCGGUAUCUCUGCAUGAAAUGUUAACAUUAAUUUUAAAUAUUCUCUACAUUUGCUUUUUGUUUCUCAUUUUGUAUGCAAGUUGCCUUUUAUUAAUGUUACUUGUAUACCUUCUAUUUGGCUAUGAUAUGGCUGACGAAUACGAUGUUAUGUGAACUAAUAACAUCUAUAUACAUAUAUAUUGGCCAACUUAUUAUUCCGAUAUCCCCAGCUCAGAUUGAACAGACGAGAAAUUGCACUUUGUGUCCAGAGUUAUCCGUAGUCUCGACCGUAGACACUGUGUGUGUGUGUGUGUGUGUGAGUGAGUGUGUGUGUGAGUGUGUGUGUGUGUAGCAGCAGCUGCUGUCGUCUACCCCCCAAACCAUUCUCACCCCCCCAGAAAUAAAGGCUAAAUGAAGGUGGAGAUGGAGCAACAAAAAAAAAAAAUCGUGUGUUUUCUCCCCCCCACCUCUCCCUGUGCAAAUAGCAACAGAAAAAUAGAGAAAAAAGGAGGAAACCAAGAAGAGACUUAGAGAGAAAGAGCGAGCAAAAAGAAAGAAGAGACAGGAACAGAUCAAUGACCUGCAUUUCACAGCCUGAGACACAUUUCAAUCGAUAAAAGUGAAGAGUUGGGGCACGAGAGCACACACACACACACACACGCACACACACACACACACACACACACACAUACACACAUAUAUAUGGAGGCUAUGGCAAAAAACAACAUGGCGCACGGUGAAAUAUAUGCAAGCUCAAGCUCUUCCUGCAGGAAAAGCCAAAAUGGCAGCAGACAGGCAGAGCCCGAGACCGAGGCAGAGGCAGCGGCAGUGGCAGCGGCACUGGCAGUGGCAGCAACAACAGCAUGCGGCAAACGUGACGCAGUGCAGCAAAGGAAGAGAAAUCAAAACUCCAGAGAUGGUUAGAAAGAGAGAGAGAGAGAUAGAUGGCGGCUGUCGGUCGCUCGCUCGGUCUCGCUCCAUGUUCGGCAUUCGGUGGUUGCAGUUCCAUAAAAACAACAACAAACAAAAAGGGCAACAACA